rnacentral:rRNA from 1 species
ACGCUCGACACCUACGGGAGGCAGCAGUGAGGAAUAUUGGUCAAUGGGCGCUAGCCUGAACCAGCCAAGUAGCGUGAAGGAUGAAGGCUCUAUGGGCCGUAAACUUCUUUUAUAUAAGAAUAAAGUGCAGUAUGUAUACUGUUUUGUAUGUAUUAUAUGAAUAAGGAUCGGCUAACUCCGUUCCAGCAGCCGCGGUAAUCUGAGCGGGCUGGCAAGGC